rnacentral:sRNA from 1 species
UACGAGUUGGUCAUAGUGGGAAUCAG